GCAUCAACAGAUGUUAUUUGUUUUUUCAAUGUAUGUACCUCAUAAAUUACUAAAUUUUUGGUUUUUUAUUUUAUUUUUACACUUCUGAAAUUAUUUUAAAAUGCGCUUGCCAAAGGAAAAUAUACGAAACAAUACCUAAUACUACCUCGCAAUGGUUACAGUUGGGAUUUGGAAGUUGGGAAGGUACAGUUAUUUUUUUUCUAUAUCUGUAUGCUACGAUGUUAUUGUUACAGGGCCCGGUGAUGGUUUUCAAAUUAAGGCGCAUUAUAAACGUUGAGAAUGAUACAUUGAAUAACUGAAUUCAAUGAGGUCUGUAGAAUGUUUACCUCUAUUAAAUCAAAAAAAAAA